GACGAACGCUGGCGGCGUGCUUAACACAUGCAAGUCGAACGAUGAAGCCGGAGCUUGCUCUGGUGAAUUAGUGGCGAACGGGUGAGUAACACGUGAGUAACCUGCCCUUGACUCUGGGAUAACUGCGGGAAACUGUAGCUAAUACCGGAUACGACCCUCGGAGGCAUCUCCUGGGGGUGGAAAGAAUUUCGGUCAAGGAUGGACUCGCGGCCUAUCAGCUAGUUGGUGAGGUAAAGGCUCACCAAGGCGACGACGGGUAGCCGGCCUGAGAGGGUGACCGGCCACACGGGGACUGAGACACGGCCCAGACUCCUACAGGAGGCAGCAGUGGGGAAUAUUGCACAAUGGGCGCAAGCCUGAUGCAGCAACGCCGCGUGAGGGAUGACGGCCUUCGGGUUGUAAACCUCUUUUAGCAGGGAAGAAGCGAAAGUGACGGUACCUGCAGAAAAAGCACCGGCUAACUACGUGCAGCAGCCGCCGUAA
rnacentral:rRNA from 1 species